rnacentral:rRNA from 1 species
CAGUAGCCGCGGGAAUACGAAGGGUGCAAGCGUUAAUCGGAAUUACUGGGCGUAAAGCGUGCGUAGGCGGUGAGUUAAGUCUGCUGCGAAAUCCCCGGGCUCAACCUGGGAAUGGCAGUGGAUACUGGCUCGCUAGAGUGUGUCAGAGGAUGGUGGAAUUCCCGGUGUAGCGGUAAAAUGCGUAGAGAUCGGGAGGAACAUCAGUGGCGAAGGCGGCCAUCUGGGACAACACUGACGCUGAGGCACGAAAGCGUGGGGAGCAAACAGGAUUAGAUACCCGCGUAGUCCCUGUCUCUUAUAC